rnacentral:rRNA from 1 species
GUCCUGGCCGUAAACGUUGGGCGCUAGGUGUGGGGGUAUCGACCCCCUCCGUGCCGUAGCUAACGCAUUAAGCGCCUCACCUGGGGAGUACGACCGCAAGGUUGAAACUCAAAGGAAUUGACGGGGCCCGCACAAGCGGUGGAGUAUGCGGUUUAAUUCGAGGCAACGCGAAGAACCUUACCCGGGCUUGACAUCACCGAAAGGAUCCAUGGUCUCCAGAAAUGGGGGUCUUAGGAAGACAGGUGUUGCAUGGCUGUCGU